AACGAACGCUGGCGGCGUGCCUAACACAUGCAAGUCGAACGUGAUUGGAAGCUUGCUUCCAUGAAAGUGGCGCACGGGUGAGUAACGCGUAGAUAAUCUACCUGAUGAUUCGGGAUAACACUUCGAAAGGGGUGCUAAUACCGGAUAAGCCCACGGAGUCCUUGGACACUGCGGGAAAAGGGGGGGAUCGCAAGACCUUCCGUCAUCAGAUGAGUCUGCGUACCAUUAGCUAGUUGGUGGGCUAAAGGCCUACCAAGGCGAAGAUGGUUAGCUGGUGUGAGAGAAUGAUGAGCCACACUGGAACUGAGACACGGUCCAGACGCCUGCGGGAGGCAGCGUUGGCGAAUGUGGCGCAAUGGUGGAAACCCAGACGCAGCAUCGCCGAGUGGGUGCAGAAGGCCCUUUCGUCCUAGAGCUCUGACAGACGGAAAGAAAUACGGGUGGCUAAUAUCCAUUCCGCUUGACGGUACCCUCAAAGGAAGCACCGGCUAACUCCGUGCCAGCAGCCGCAGUAACAC
rnacentral:rRNA from 1 species